rnacentral:miRNA from 1 species
AUUACAGACAUGGACU